rnacentral:lncRNA from 1 species
CCAGAGAACCCGGCCUGACAGAGUGGGUUUUGAGCAGAGGAGCAGCACAGUCUGCUUUGGGGCUGUGGGUGGAGGAGGGCCCGUGGGAGCUGGGAUGGAGCAGAUCAGUCAGGAGCUGCUGAGGAGCAAAUCUGGGGACAGAUAAGUUUUGGCCAUACUCUAUUUGAGGGGCCCAUUAGACACUUGGAUGAGGUCCUGCUUAUCCUCUGGACCCAGGGGAAAUGCUGCCUUUCCAUGAAACUAUCUAAGAUUGCAGUCAGGAUUAACAAUAGCCACCAUUUGGAGGGCAUGUAGCAUAGGCGGGGCCUGGUGCUAAGCAGGCCGUAAUAGUCAUUAUAUCCAGUCUUCACAACAACGCUGCUAGGAAAAUGAGCAGAGGCCUCAGCCAGGGUCACUGUGCGGCCUUACACAGCUGGGCUGUGGCCCAGGGGGCACGCUAACUGUCCUGCAACAGAGCCCCUUCCUGGGGAUCUCAUACACUGCUGCUCUCCGGUUCUAAACUCUGCCCUGUCAGAAAUCACAUCUGAGCCGUUUCCAGUCUCCAGGAUCAAGCCCGGAUUUUGUGUACAGAAGUGCCCAGGCAGUGCAGCCACUUCCAGGAGCUUCUUGGGCCCAUCUGAACGCUGGCUGAACAUCCCUGCUUGUUCCCACUCUGUUCCUCAUUUGGUGAUCUGCCUAAGAGAGACCUGUGGGCAGAAAGACACAACCCCACUGGCAGUGCUGUAAAUUUCACUACUCCUUAAAGCUGUCUCUGAGAGGUGCGUCAACAUUGCGAUUUGACUGAAGGGAAAAUUGAGGCCCUGAGAAAUCAGGCAAUAGAAGAAAUCCAGAGUCCAGAUCAAGACUGGAACCCUGUCCCAAGUUCCAUGGACUCAAGGGUCCAUGUGCUGGUUCCCUGGGCCCACAUGGAUUCCCAAACCUGGGGAGGUCUGGCCUAGUGGUGGUCUGGUGGCCCCACUGUGGGGGCUGUCACACUGGCACCUUUCACAGAUACUGCGAACAGUAGAAGAUGCCAUCGUGGACACAUAGAAACAGGUCUUCCUGUAAGAG